rnacentral:rRNA from 1 species
UAGUUAUUGUAGGCCCGUCAGCCUAUCUAAGCGUCGAAUCUGAUGAAGAACCGUAAUGGUGAGAAGUUGGAGAAUACGCGAUGGGGCGAGCGUAAGCUCGCUUAUGAUAAUCCCCGGUCCCCGUGAAAGCAAUGUAGUUACAAUCUUAUUGUUCGUACCAAGAACCGACACAGGUGUCCCUAGGUGAGUAGCCUAAGGCGUGUUAGCAUAAUCGUGGCGAGGGAACUCGGCAAAUUAGCCCUGUAACUUCGGGAGAAGGGGUGCCAGUACUGUGAGGUACUGGUCGCAGUGACAAGAGAACACCGACUGUUUAAUAAAAACAUAGGUCUCUGCUAGUUCGAAAGGAUGUGUAUAGAGGCCGAAGCCUGCCCAGUGUCGGCAUCUGAAAAUCUGUUUCAACGGAUCGAAGGACCGAUAAACGGCGGGGGUAACUAUGACCCUCUUAAGGUAGCGUAAUACCUUGUCGCUUAAUUGGCGACUUGCAUGAAGGCUCAACGAGUGUUCUACUGUCCCCGCCAUGACGCUAGUGAAAACAAUCAGUCUGGUGCACAAUCCAGACCCCUCCAUCUGAAAGCGAAGACCCCAUGGAGUUUCACUGCAACCUGUUGUUGUUGUAGGAAAUGGUAUGUGUAGGGUAGGCGGGAGACGUUACCCAGGAAGGUGCGCUAGCAUCUCUCCGAGUCACCGAUGAAACACCGCCCUUAUCAUUUCUUACGACUCACCUCUCCGGAGGAACAGCUAUAGGCAGGCAGUUCGGGUGGGGCGCCACGCCCUCAAAAAGAUAACAAGGGCGCCCAAAGGUUAGCUCAGGUAGGUCAGAAAUCUACCGAAGAAUGUAAAGGUAAAAGCUAGCUUGACUCGGAACCAGACAAUAGGGUUCGGAGAUAGGAAACUAUGGCUUAACGAACCAAUCAACCUCCUGAAUGGGGGUGAUUGAUAUCAGAAAAAUUACCCUGGGGAUAAUUGAGUUGUCACGAGCAAGAGUUCAUAUCGACCUCGUGGCUUGCUACUUCGCUGUCGGCUCUCCCUAUCCUGGUGGUGCAGCAGCUGCCAAGGGUGGGGUUGUUCGCCCAUUAAAAGGGAUCGUGAGCUGGGUUUAAAACGUCGCGAGACAGUUUUGUUGCUUUUUGAUGGAGGUGUUGGUACCUGAUGAGAAGGACCCUUUAGUACGAGAGGAACAGGGGUUCGUGGCCUCUAGUUUAUCAGUUGUCUGACAAGGCAUGCUGAGUAGCCACGCCGCAGCGGAUAAGAGCUGAAAGCAUCUAAGCUCGAAGCCGCCUUAAAAAAGAGGUACCCAUAUAACGCUCAUAAAUGAUGAGUUUGAUAGAAGCCGGAUGUAAGUAUCGAGGUUCGCCGAGAUAUUCAGUCCUGGCUUACUAAAGUUAUUUUGACGUC